rnacentral:rRNA from 1 species
ACACAUGCAGUCGAACGAUGAAGCCCUGCUUGCAGGUGGAUUAGUGGCGAACGGGUGAGUAACACGUGAGUAACCUGCCCCUGACUCUGGGAUAAGCCCGGGAAACUGGGUCUAAUACCGGAUAUGACUUCCUACUGCAUGGUGGGUUGUUGAAAGAUUUAUCGGUGGGGGAUGGACUCGCGGCCUAUCAGCUUGUUGGUGAGGUAAUGGCUCACCAAGGCGACGACGGGUAGCCGGCCUGAGAGGGUGACCGGCCACACUGGGACUGAGACACGGCCCAGACUCCUACGGGAGGCAGCAGUGGGGAAUAUUGCACAAUGGGCG